rnacentral:rRNA from 1 species
UACGUAGGUGGCGAGCGUUGUCCGGAUUUAUUGGGUUUAAAGGGUGCGUAGGCGGCCCUAUAAGUCAGUGGUGAAAUAUCGCAGCUUAGCUGUGAGGGUGCCAUUGAUACUGUAGGGCUUGAGUGAAUUUGAGGUAGGCGGAAUUGACGGUGUAGCGGUGAAAUGCUUAGAUAUCGUCAAGAACACCGAUAGUGAAGACAGCUUACCAAGCUUCAACUGACGCUGAGGCACGAAAGUGUGGGGAUCAAACAGG